rnacentral:rRNA from 1 species
AGAGUUUGAUCAUGGCUCAGAUUGAACGCUGGCGGCAGGCCUAACACAUGCAAGUCGAGCGGUAACAGAAAGUAGCUUGCUACUUUGCUGACGAGCGGCGGACGGGUGAGUAAUACUUGGGAACAUGCCUUGAGGUGGGGGACAACAGUUGGAAACGACUGCUAAUACCGCAUAAUGUCUACGGACCAAAGGGGGCUUCGGCUCUCGCCUUUAGAUUGGCCCAAGUGGGAUUAGCUAGUUGGUGAGGUAAUGGCUCACCAAGGCAACGAUCCCUAGCUGGUUUGAGAGGAUGAUCAGCCACACUGGGACUGAGACACGGCCCAGACUCCUACGGGAGGCAGCAGUGGGGAAUAUUGCACAAUGGGCGCAAGCCUGAUGCAGCCAUGCCGCGUGUGUGAAGAAGGCCUUCGGGUUGUAAAGCACUUUCAGUCAGGAGGAAAGGUUAGUAGUUAAUACCUGCUAGCUGUGACGUUACUGACAGAAGAAGCACCGGCUAACUCCGUGCCAGCAGCCGCGGUAAUACGGAGGGUGCGAGCGUUAAUCGGAAUUACUGGGUGUAAAGCGUACGCAGGCGGUUUGUUAAGCGAGAUGUGAAAGCCCCGGGCUCAACCUGGGAACUGCAUUUCGAACUGGCAAACUAGAGUGUGAUAGAGGGUGGUAGAAUUUCAGGUGUAGCGGUGAAAUGCGUAGAGAUCUGAAGGAAUACCGAUGGCGAAGGCAGCCACCUGGGUCAACACUGACGCUCAUGUACGAAAGCGUGGGGAGCAAACGGGAUUAGAUACCCCGGUAGUCCACGCCGAAAACGAUGUCUACUAGAAGCUCGGAACCUCGGUUCUGUUUUUCAAAGCUAACGCAUUAAGUAGACCGCCUGGGGAGUACGGCCGCAAGGUUAAAACUCAAAUGAAUUGACGGGGGCCCG